rnacentral:rRNA from 1 species
ACUCCUACGGGAGGCAGCAGUAGGGAAUCUUCCACAAUGGGCGCAAGCCUGAUGGAGCAACACCGCGUGAGUGAAGAAGGGUUUCGGCUCGUAAAGCUCUGUUGUUAAAGAAGAACACGUAUGAGAGUAACUGUUCAUACGUUGACGGUAUUUAACCAGAAAGUCACGGCUAACUACGUGCCAGCAGCCGCGGUAAUACGUAGGUGGCAAGCGUUAUCCGGAUUUAUUGGGCGUAAAGAGAGUGCAGGCGGUUUUCUAAGUCUGAUGUGAAAGCCUUCGGCUUAACCGGAGAAGUGCAUCGGAAACUGGAUAACUUGAGUGCAGAAGAGGUAGUGGAACUCCAUGUGUAGCGGUGGAAUGCGUAGAUAUAUGGAAGAACACCAGUGGCGAAGGCGGCUACCUGGUCCGCAACUGACGCUGAGACUCGAAAGCAUGGGUAGCGAACAGGAUUAGAUACCCCUGGUAGGAUAGCG